AUUCUUUUCUCCAGCCCAAAACCUCCCCUUCGGCUCUUCGCCCCUCGCUACCUCCGAUUUCCAAUGGCCCUAGCCGGAGCCCCUCGCCGCCGGCGAGCUACACGUUCGCGUCUCCCCCCCACUCUCCUCCUCAUCGUCCUCCUCCUCCUCGGCGGGGCUCCUCGUGCUUCCGCGCUCCGCGUCCCGCUUCGCGAGGUCGCCACCCUCCUCAACCUCUCCCGCUCCCUCCUCAACCGCGUCGCCGCCGCCCGCGCGGCCCGUGGAGACGACUUUGCGGCGUCCCGCGCGCGCAGGAUCGCCUCCCAUCUCUCCCUCUUCUCAUCCCGCGGCGCGUGGGCACUCUCUUGGGACUACCUCCGCCACUACGCCUUCUCGUCGGCUGCCGGGUGCGGCCUCUCCUGCGCCACCGCCGCUGCUCGCCUCCUCGCUGCUGCUGCGGAGGUCUCGCGCCUGCAUUCCGCCACCGACGCCGCCCAGUGGCUGCGCCGCAAUUACGGGGACGUCCGCGACGCGGCCGCGCAGCUCCUCAACGGUCUCCUUGUUGCCUUCUCCGAGCAGGGGCCUUUACGAGAGGUGGUGAUGGAUGUGAAGUGGGAAGUGGAGGAAGGGGAGCUGCUGAAGGAUUGCCUCAAGGUGGGAGCUAAGGACUUGGAGGGGUUGCUUGUCAUUGCCAAAGAUCUCUUAUUUGGGGCCACAAGGACUUCUUCGCGCCACAACGAACUUUGAGUUAGAAUUCCUGACAAUUUACAAGCAGACUGAGCAAACAACAGAGUUCUACAAGACUUCACUGCUGGAUACAGAUACUUUGAGCCGAGCAUUGUUUAAUUAACAUCAGUCUCCAUCAGUUCCCAACUUUUGCUGGUAAUGCACCAAGUGAAACUUAAAUGUGCCCCAUGUACAGCUCAGGACGUCUCCAAACUUUGUUAGUCUUGAUUAAUCUAUAAUAAAGUAUCAUAAAUAUAAAAUCCCGAUGGUUACUGUAUUGUACAAUUGAUGCUCCGCUGCCACCUUUGUUUUCCCUUUUAUUGUCAUGCCCUAGACUUCUAGUGUUAGAAUGUGUUGCGGUAGUAAACCACAAGUUCAGUCAAAAACUUCGGCGAAGUACUUGGCCACUUGGGUUGUUGCUUGGUCUGAUUGGUUAACACUAGAUUUUGUACAAAAUUCAGGCCCAACCCCAUGCUUAUCUCUCUGGGCCCUGCUGUGAAGUUAUCCUUAUUGCUUACUGUCAAUGCAGGGACAAACAACUUCCUCCCCCGUAUUGAGCGUGCAAAAGAGUUCAAUUGAAAGUUUAACCACUGGAAAAUGCUAUUAUGUCUUGUCUUAGCAGGCUUGAAUCAGUGCUAGUUGGAAUUAGUGGUUGGCUGGGCUCAUGCACUGUAAGUGGUUACUUAUUUGUUGCAAUGUGAGCGUUUAUUCUGUAAUUCGCGUAUGCAGUGUGACCGUUUCAGCGUUUCUGCUGCGUGAAAGUUAGGAAGGAUGGUGUCUGGCUGCUUGCCAUAAGCCCAUAAAUUUCAUGCAUGCAUUUAAAACUGCUUCAGAUUGAGUGCAGAUAUUUCAAACUACAAGGCCAGACGUUUCUUCAGCAAGCAGCUGAGCACUUUGAUAUCCAUCAGCUUGAUCCGGCGUUAAAAUUGGCUUGAUCGGACUGCCGUGGUCUGUCAUCAUCCCUGAACAGGUCGGUCGACAUCAGAUCUUCACCUAUAUUGGAGGCUAAGUUGUUCACCAACUCAUUGUGUUUAUGGCUAGUAUAUUCGAUCCCCUUUAGACAUGCUAUCCAAUCAAACGAAGCCUUGCUACUGUGCGGAAUAUAAUGUGCAGUUGUGCACUAACAAAGGCCAAGCGGAGUCACUAUGAAUUGCUAAUGGAGCUAGACUUGUAAAUGCCGAAUAAUAAGACGCUGGAUCCAGAGUUUUCUGACUUUUCU